rnacentral:rRNA from 1 species
CCUACGGGAGGCAGCAGUGGGGAAUAUUGCACAAUGGGGGAAACCCUGAUGCAGCGACGCCGCGUGAGUGAAGAAGUAUUUCGGUAUGUAAAGCUCUAUCAGCAGGGAAGAAGAAAGACGGUACCUGACUCAGAAGCCCCGGCUAACUACGUGCCAGCAGCCGCGGUAAUACGUAGGGGGCAAGCGUUAUCCGGAUUUACUGGGUGUAAAGGGAGCGUAGACGGCUGUGCAAGUCUGAAGUGAAAGCCCAGGGCUCAACCCUGGGACUGCUUUGGAAACUGUGGAGCUAGAGUGCUGGAGAGGUAAGUGGAAUUCCGAGGGUAGCGGUGAAAUGCGUAGAUAUUAGGAGGAACACCAGUGGCGAAGGCGGCUUACUGGACAGUAACUGACGUUGAGGCUCGAAAGCGUGGGGAGCAAACAGGAUUAGAUACCCCAGUAGUC